CUGUUUGCUUCGGGUCACCCAAAGGAGACCUCAGCAUGCGUUUCCUCGGCUUUUUCUCACAACCAAGGAGAAGCAGCCGCUGUGGAGCAAGUACCUGGAGCGGACCGUGGCAGGGAGGGGGCAACUCAAUUGAGAGGAAUCCUUCCACAGAAAAUCAAACCAACUGAUCAAACGUGUGGAAUUGCCUGUGUUAGGCACCGUGCAACAAUGGAGACAGUGACGGAAUCCAAAUUCCUGCCCCCGAGAGGCUUUCAGUCCCAUUGGAGGAGCCAAGGCUCCUGCGCACAUGGGUUUCUGAGGGAAAUGAAGACUAAAGAAAAAUCAGAGGAAUCAAGCAAGCACACGAGACCUCCCAGUGACCUUAUGAUAAAAUCUGCCUCUACUUGUUGACCUGAAGAAUUUCUGCUAUGUGAAGCUAAAACAGUCCGAAGCCCCGGGAUCUGCUGCUUGCUGUUUCAAGCCUUCACUAAGUCAUUGAGCUCACCCUGCAGAUGGGUUUUAGUUUCUUCAUCUGUAAAAUGAGGGUACUAAUGUUUAUCUUUUGGGGCUCUAUGAAGAUUAUGUCGAACACUCUAUGAUAAACACUUAGAAAAGCGACUGGUAUUUAAUAGUCAUUGAGUGGACGUGAGGUAAUAUUAGUUUUUGAAAUCACUUAUCAGGGUGCCUGUCAUCCGACAGGAAAUUGAUAGUUAUCAGGUGACCAAUGUAAGCUCUCUUGAGUCUUCCUACCCUUUUUCUUCUCUCUGCCUAGAGUACCCUUUGCCAUUACAUCCACUCGGCCACCCGCCACCUGGCCUUUCCCCUGAGGUCUCUUGGUGGCACUCCUCUAUGGUGGCGAUUGUUAUCCUUCAUUACUGUUGUUUUGCUUGUGUCUCUUCUCUAAACUUUGAUUCAUUAAAGGAAGUCAAAAUUUUCUUCGUACUCAAUUUUUAGCAACAUCAUGCAUGACAAAGUCACUAUAAAUGUUUGAUAAAUUAAUGCGUGGAUGAAGACAUCCAGUCUAGACUUUGGGAUGAAACACAUCACGUGGGGACUCUCUGGAAGUUAUAGAUGUGAAUGAGAUCACCAGAGGACUGUAGCACGGGCAGAGAAAAGGAUGAAGGCAGAAUAUGACAAAAAGUUGCUGGAUGGGAGGGAGUAAGCUCAGAGGAGGAGCAGAACUAAAAAAGAAAAUAGGGUAAGGAUGGGGUAAGUGAAGGAGUGAGAGAACGCAGAGAAGUAGAAAUCAAGAAAGAAGUGGCCAGAAGUGUUACAACUUUGUAUAAUCUGAGAAUAAGAUGAUUUGGACAGAUAUUGUACCUUGGAGGCCAUU
rnacentral:lncRNA from 1 species